CUGGUCAUGAGGAAGUGAAUGUCAGAGACACUGAGGGAGGAAGAUGGUUUAUUUUUUAUUAUUUUUUUAUUUUAUGCUGUCCAUCGUCAAAUUGUGUCAAUAUUGUGCAUCUUGAAAAAAGAAGAUUCCUUAUAGUGACGCGGACGUUCGCUACACUCCAAAAGGCUUAAUUGUGGGUUUAGCCUACAGAUGAUACCAGUAUAUUGGAACAAUUUAAAUCCCAACGGGAGUAUAAUCUAGAGUAUAUAUUCUAGAAUUGUUCAAUAGGCUUCGUACAUGUAGACGCUAAAAUAAGGCAAAUGUCCACAAGCAAGGAAUGUUUGUCUUUUCUGGGUAAUUAAUUGACUACAAUAAAUGAAUGCAGCCAAUAUAAAUAAAUAAAAAUAUUGAACCAGUAACAAAAAAAAAAGAAAAAAAAAGGGAAGUAAAAAAAGUAACAAAACAAAAAAAGGUCAAAAGAGAAAGUGAAAUUGUUUCAAACUCAAACGACAUUUUAAAGACGGAGGACAACGAAGAUGCAGUAAUAAAGGAAUUACAUUGGAUAAAAGAACGGAGUCUUACAUCAGGAGCCGAGCAGGAGACAGGGCUGGGGGGCACACAGGUUCUGUGAUGGCUGAGCAGCUCAUGGGGAUUCUGGAUGAUCUGAAACGAGAAGAAUUUAAAAGGUUCAAAUUUUAUUUGAAUGGCAAGGUGCUACAAGGAUGUAGACCCAUUCCAAAGGGCCAACUGGAAGGCAAAGAUGUGACAGAUGUUGUGGAACUGAUGGAGAGUUUCUAUGGUAACAAGAUGGUGAACAUCACACUGGAGAUCUUAAAGAAAAUUGAUCGAAAUGACCUUAUUCCGAUACUGGAGAGCAAUCCUAAAAUGGGAAAGGACCACAGAGAGCAGCAACCUACUGAUCUGGGAUCAGCCCCUCUCCAUUCCUCUAUCACAACUCAGACUGGAGCCAAUGCCAUGGACCACAGAGAGCAGCCACCUGCUGAUCUGGGAUCAGCCCCUCUCCAUUCCUCUAUCACAGCUCAGACUGGAGCCAAUGCCAUGGACCACAGAGAGCAGCCACCUGCUGAUCUGGGAUCAGCCCCUCUCCAUUCCUCUAUCACAGCUCAGACUGGAGGCAGUGCUGUAGUACCACAGUUACAUGGAUGUCAUGUUGCAGGAAAUGUUAUUGUCAAUGUAAACACCCAGUCUGAUAACAAAGGUAAGUAAGGAUUUGUCUUUCUUUAUAUGUGAUCAGUGCACUUCACAUUAUUCUGUCCCUCCAUAAUCCAACCAACAGUGGAAUUGUUUUUAGUGAAUCAUAGUAUAUAUCAUUCGGGAUGGUGCUGAGUACAAAUACCAUAUUCUGCAACACUCGAAUAACGCUUUCUCCCUGUGGAGGAAAACCCCUUCUUAGGUUCGGUGGGUGAGUCGGUGAUGCAAGAAUAAAGACUAGAAAUUAUGAUUUCUUCUAAUAACCUUUUUAUUCUCUUCAAUCAAUAAUCCUUUUCAUGUACGUAGGCCUACGGGAGGUCUCCAGUACCAUAAAGACACAUAGAGAGCUUCCUCGCAUUAUGUUUUACAUCCUUUUUAUGCAAUCAGAUCUCCUCCUACCCUGAUGUAUCUUCCCUUUAAAAUAACCAAUCCCAGCCUAGGUCAAACUUAUGUUUCAUCAUUUAGUUUAACAAUAACUAUUAUAUAAUCUUCCAUUUUAAUCAAUGACAUAUAUUUCACUACACACACUUACAGAGGAAUGUAUAUGCAUGACUUGAAUAACAAGUAUUUGUCCUCAUGAUUAACCAUUGUUCAAUCUUCCAGUUCCAAAGUACAUGCGCUUUAAAUGCAUUCACUACAUGCUGUAAUCCAAAUGAAAUAUUGACUCAUAUACACACCGCCAUGUUCUAACAAACUAUGUUUAUAUCAUUACCGUUGCCGUCAUUACUUUGAUUUUCAUUCAUUCAUUUUAAUAGAAUAUAAUCUAUACAUUUACUAAAUAUAGCAAAUCAGUUCUUUCUAGGUCAGUAUCCUUUCUCUUCUCUUGCAACUCAAAGGUCUUCUGCACAAGAUUGUUUCCCAACAGAAGAUACUUACAAAAUUCCACUAAGUAAAUGUUUACAAUUUUCCCUCCUGCAACUGGGGUUCAAAGAUUCUCUAGGUAGUAUGCAUCAGUGUACAAGGAGGCCACAGUCUUUCCUUAGUUACAAAUUCUUAGACAUAACACAAAAUACCUAUUGUUCUUCAGUGAUCAUCCCAUAAUCACAUACAUUUAAAUAUAUUCUUGAUCAGUACAAUCUUUAAUAAGACGAAAUGUAAAAACAUUAAAAGAAUGAAGAAAACAUACUUCCACAUCCCCAAAUGUUUUCUCCUCCCAAACUUAGCCAAUAUUAUUCAGAUUUGGAUCUAUUUUCUCAUCUCUUUGAUGCAAUUCUCUCAGAAGGCAGCAUCAAGUUUCUCAAUUUGACACACACACCUGCAGAGAGACAGCGAGUGAGAGUUUCCUUUAACACUAGAUCGACCAGAGCAAGGCCAUUGCGCAUUGGGGACUAAUCAAAAUUACUCCAGUGCCUUGAAUGACAUAUCCUCCUCCUUCCACAACUUUCCUAAAUAUUUGGGCUUUAAAUAACUGCAUUUUUUAAAAUCCGAAAAAAUCGACUCAGUUAAGAAAUACAGAGAGUCUGCGCCAUUUUCCACACAAAACCGCCCGCUAGACAAUGGACAACAACAGGUGCUUUCACCCAGGUGCGAAUGGGUCGCUGUCUACUCCGGCAUGCUAUUCAAUAAUUGAAUGACCUUUGCUUUGAUAAGAAUUUCCCAAAAAAGCACAAUUCAAAGUAAUUUCGCACAUACAAUCAUGCUGAAUUAAUUCACACCAACUAUGAUAAGUUGAUAAAGCCUUUAGAAUGGGGAUGGAUAAUUGUGUCUAUUGUAGUUAUAUAAAUUAGUUUAGAAGUCCGCGGAGAUAACGCCACCAACAUAUUUUCGGGUUUUGUCUGAAACAGACUUUGAAUAAACUGAAUAAAAUUACUACACAACAACUGAGUGAAAUAUAUCCGAUUCGUGUGUGUGCGGUUCCAGCAAACCACCAAAGCUGCGCAUUCUCUGAGGAAUUGAUAAGAGGAGAGUGACAGUGCAUAUUGCACUUUGCAUUUCUUUAACUACUUUUUCUGUUUUGCAUUUUGUCAUGCACAUUUUAGCCCUUUUCUCAGUGUUCCUAUAAUAUGCCUCGAUUCAUUUUCCCUUAGCCUACAUAACAAAACCGCUAAAAUUUAGAAAUACAAAUGUUAAAUUGAUUCAGUUGUGUACUUUACUUCAAGAAAAUAGUUUUGCAAUGUGCGGUUUCAUAAUCUUUAUCUGAGGAAAAACAGGUUUUCAACAUACAAAAAUGCCAAGUUACUACCAUAUACAAAGCACUAUAAGCCAUUAACAAUUGCAAAAUCUAGGCCUGCCAUUAAAAGUACUGAUAUCAAAAUUACAUCAAGUUACAAUAAACAAUAUUGGCUACCUCAUCUAGCACAAAUUAAACAUGCUAUAUUCCAAACCAAUGCUGCUACCCAAUGCUUCCUAAAUUCUAACAAGUAAGCAUGAGCGAGCAUGAAUGUCCUUAUGGAAUGGUAUAUAAAACAGAUGGGAUUAAUAAGUGGUUGCAUAUAUAGCUAUUCAGGGAAUGCGUGAAAUUGGGUAGAAAAACAGAUGCACUUUUUUCAUGUAUGUCAUGUUUGAAAUUAUAUUUUUUAUAUAUAUAUUGGUAGAUAGAGAACAGGGCAAGAUAAGUAGAAUGUAGAAAUGUGGCGAUUUGAGCCUCCCACCUUGCAAUUCUUAGGCAGAAACUUUAGCAGCAAGCCACCGAGGAAGUAGUUAUGCAAGGUGUGAAAUUUCUUGGUGAAAUGUGCUGGUGGUUUUAAUGAAGACAGACUCAGCUGCGGUUGUAUUCCAUAAGGCCUGGCUAUAUUGUAGCUGGCUAGAAAACAUUCACAUUGAAAGCAAAUAUAGCAGGUUAACUGAAUAAUACAGCGUAUACAUACGGUGGAAGACCGACACAAUUUGGUGCAGAAGGAUCCAGAAAAAUUAUGCGGUUGCAAAAGCAAUAGUUGAAAAGUAAAAGACAAUUGUGAGUGAGACAAUAAGUGUAAGAAAAAAUAAAUUCAGGGGGGGUCUCAGGUGGGAUUUGAUCUUGAGGCUCUGUGGUCCCAAAUCCACAACCUUACCAGUGAGCCACAAACUUACUAGAUGUCAUGGCUGGAAAAUUUAUUUGGAAAUGAGAUGUAAGGCUGCAUGCCAGUGAUUAUAAUGGUAAAUAUCUGGAAUUUUUGGCAUUUAAUACAGCUUCCAUGUUGAACUCCACUUCCUGCUAUGCCCACUUCUGGCUCUAUCCAAAUACAAAUAAUUUUGUUGGUUGAACAAAUUGCAAAUAGUGCCAUCUUCCUCCAUCUCUAAUGCACAUACACUUGUUUGGGAUUUGGGAUUGAGGGUCCAUUUAAAUUAUAUUUCAAUUUUUUUUACAAAAGAAAUUGACUCACUUCUAGUUUACAUUUCUACCUGUUGUUUUAUUUAGAAAGCAAAUAGCAGUACAGUACAUAAGCAUGUUGAGUUUUCUGCUAGUAAAGGCAGCUUCUCUCCCUGCAGGUCUUAUCUCAGGAGCCGAGCAGGAGACAGGGAUGGGAGGCACACAGACAGACUGGCCGUACCUGAACCUGAAUAAAGAAACAGGUAAAACACUUUCAAAUCUAAACACCUUUUUACAUCUAUUUCUUAAAUAUGCUAGUACUGAUGUUUAUUAUACUUGCGUUUCCUGCUUGUUCGGUAAGGAUGUGGAUUUUUUCACAGGAAGGAAAAAACAAGUUUAUCUGAUUCCAUUAAUUUAAAAACCAGAAAACAAAAUAUUUAGGCUAUUUUGUAGUGAAAGUGGGGAAAGGUGCUAUAGAAACAUGACAUUCCCAGAGAUAACCUGGUGUGUAUGCUUUGGUGCCUGGCAGCAUACCUGCAUCUCAGAGUCCAUGCCUGGCACCAGCACCCCCACUUUCUUUGAUGAACUCAGAGGUCUUGUUUGACGUACAGAUUACAUAGGCCUUGCGGAUGACU